CUUGGAAACAGGAACUGAAGCAG
rnacentral:piRNA from 1 species